AGGCUCCAGGCUCUGAGCUGUCAGCACAGAGCCCGACGCGGGGCUCGAACUCACGGACCGUGAGAUCAUGACCUGAGCUGAAGUCGGACGCUUAACCGACCAAACCACCCAGGUGCCCCUGAAAGUGGGUCUUUUACCCCCAAACACGCCUUCGGUUGAGUUCACUGCAGCUUCGCCCCUCAUCCUCACGAAAACUCACGAGAGGCCCCGAGUCAGCGCUGUCCAGAUCGGCUUCCUCCCCACCGGGCCUGCCUUCCUCACCAGCUCACAGGCCCGCACCCAGGAGCCCUCCCAGGCCAACUCCUGCCACGGCUCCCUGUUUCCCUCCUUGUUUGGGGCAGGCACGGAAACUGCCAGGAUCGGCUUGGCUCUCAGCGAAGGCUGGUGACGUCCUCCGAAGGGCUGUCGAUCUCAAAGGGAGGGGACCCUAUCACAGCCCCAGCUAGAAAUAACCCUAUUGUCCAUUGGAUUGGUGAAUGGAGAAGCAAAUUGUGGAACAUCCCCGCAGUGGAACACCAUUUGGCAAUAAAAAAGGAUGAACUCUCGAUCCACACGGCAGCUGGGAUGAGUCUCAGACUCACGAGGCUAUCAGAAGCUGAACACAAAAGACCACGUAACGUCUGAUUCCAUUUCCAUGAACUUUCUAGAAAAGAGGCCUUGGGAUGUCCGAGACUGGCACCAGCAGGCUUCAGCUGGGAGGCCCGGUCACUGGGAUUUGAAACCAGAGAGUCAGGGGCCCUCCGGCAGAAGAUAGAUGAAGAGCGAGAGCUUGAAGGGGUCACUGCAGGAAGUCAGGGGAACCCGAGGCAGCUCCUUUGCAGCCUAUCCCGGUCCUGCCAUCUUCUGCUUAGAAUGCACAUCCUGGGCAGUGUGAAUGGAGCCCCAUUGGAGUGUCAGCGCCCUGGGAGCAGGGCCUUGUCUGCUUUGUCUGCCGUCGUGGCCGCAGUCCCUGGAACAGCGCCCGGCCCGUGGUAGCUGCCCAGUGUAUGUGAGUUGACCGGCGGAAUGAGCGGACAGAUAACCCCCUGGGACUACAGUGAGGACCAGCGCACGGACGUUCACAGCAAAAGCCGUCGAUCGGGUCAGUGUGCCGCCAUCCAGAAUUGAGGGCCCUUCCUGGCCUCCCAGCCCUCUUCCUGGCUGCGUGGGCCUCUUGUCUUUGGGCUUCUGGGUUCACUCGGCGAAGCAGAGAUGCGGGGAGGGGUUAUCUUCAUCUCGCGCACGCGGCUGAACUUCAGGCCCCGCUCCCUGGGGCCAGGGGCUGGUUUUGCUUUUGUCCUUUGCAGACUCGGACAUUUCGGCUUGGAGUCGUGAUCCAGAAGGCCAGCACCACCCUGACACUCACUACUUGGAGUUUUCUGCCGUCGAACAAAAAGGACACCCAAAUGCCAACAAAAGCACGUGAAGAGAUGCUCCAAGUCAGAACUUCUCAGGGGAGUGAAGCUCAAAACAGCAGGAUGUUAUUGGACACCUGUCAGCCUGGAAAAGCGAGAGGGCUGGAUGAUGCCAAGUGUUCGUGGGGACAGAGUCGGGGGAGCCUCAGACAGCGUUGGCGGGAAUGUGGGCGGCAACAGCGAUUCUGUGGACAACCCGGUAGGACUUGGGAAGACCAAGCAUGUGCAGCCCCCAGGACCCAGCAAUUAUCCUCUUGGGUAUAUACUCCCACAGGAAUGUUCUCGCAGCCCAAAGGAACAUAAAGAUGCGCAUUGUAGGGGCGCCUGGGUGGCUCCGUCGGUUGAGCGUCCAGCUUCGGCUCAGGUCACCAUCUCACGGUCCGUGGGUUCGAGCCCCGGGUCGGGCUCUGUGCUGACAGCUCGGAGCCUGGAGCCUGCUUUGGAUUCUGUGUCCCCCUCUCUCUCUCUGCCUCUUUCUCUCUCUCUCAAAAUUAAAUAAACAUUAAAAAAAAUUUUUUUUAAAAAAGAAGCCCCAGGUUAAGUCUCCCGUGCCCCUGUUCCUACCUGCUCUCUCGAAGCUUUCAGAGACAGAGGGUAGAUGGGAAUUUUGAAAGCUCGCGACCCUGUCUUCAUCCUUCAUGCCCACGGAAUCAGAUCCAGCCCUCAGCAUGUGCCUGACAAAGUGGGCUGGGCCAGAACCUGCCCCAGGAGAGUGUGACUGUCGCCAGAUGUGUGGGUAGGCCACAGGAGGACGAGGAAACGCGGUGCUGGGGGGAAGUGGCUCCCUGACUGGAUCCUCUUGCCCCUGGCACCCCCAACCUCACUUACUUCGGUUGUUUGAAGUUUUCAUGCUCCUCCCACCACAGGGCCUUUGCUUAUACUCUUCUGUCUGCCAUACUCUUUAUACCAAGUAGGGAUUUGGUUCCGGGGCAUGAAACAGAAAUUCAAAAUAGCAGUGCUUUUAUUAAUAGAGCAUGUAGUUCUCUCUCAUGGAAUGUAAGUUGUGGUAGUUUCAUUGGCAGCAGUGACCCCACUUCUCCACUCGCUGUAUCCACACCCCCUGUACCAUGACUUACGGCUUCUUCCAUCAAGAGGCAGAAUCCUUUUCCUGCCCCCCCCCCCCCCGAGUCUGGGCUGGCCUCCUGACUUGCUCUGGUUAACAGAAUGAGGUAGAAAUAAUAAAGUGCUAACGCUGAGCCCAGGUCUCAAGAGAA